GGUCCAGGCAAAGGGACCAGCAUUUGUCAAUGAAUGGCGGAGAGAAGGGCGUCCUCAUCCUGCAACAAAGACGACGAGCCCUGAGGCUCUGCCUGGCUUUCCUGUGGCACCUCCACUCCGUCCUGUUUGCCUUGGACAUGGGCCCCGAGCUGGGAACAAGGAGGGACACGGAGGAAGGACAUAGCCCUGAACCCUGAUCUCUCAGCAAAGAUCUCCGCCAUACUGCUUCCCCAGUCAGGAGUCUGGUGAGUGAAGACCUAUGAGACCCACCUGAACCUUCGUCUGCUCUUCAGUCCAGCCCAGAGUCAUCUUGGGCUAACUUCUCAGGGGCAUUGUCAAGAAGGGGAGGCCAGACUUCCACCUGUCUACUCCAGGACUCGAGAGGCAGAGCCAGAUGGGGAGCCAGCUAGCAAUCAUUUAUCUCACUUAACUGCAUCCUGCCCAUUGUGCGGAUGGAAAAACUAAGGUGCAGAUUGUAAGACAAAAGAGGCAGAGGCAAAACAGAGCCAGAUCUCCAGACUCUGAACCUUCUGUUCGGUUCUUUCCUCAGCUUCUCAAUGCUCGCAGACGUCUGCCAUAGGAACCCGGGGGGUGGAGUGGGGGACUGGCAGGAGUGUCACAUCUCAUGUUUAGUCUUUGGUGGCCAGGGACUGGCAGGUGCUGUAGGAACGGCUCUCUUGUCUCAGAUCCUGGAAAUGGGCCUCCUGGCAGCCAUGGAGAUUAAGGUCCCUCCCAGGCCCCGUCAUGCUUCACUGGAGGUUGACACUUCCCUGGCUCCCAGCUCCAAAAACAUCAACGAAAUGGGACCCAACAGAACAGGCCUUGUUUGGUCGUAAGGACCAGGUCCGCGCCUUGCAGGUUCCACUGUUGCUUGGAACUCAGGGAACGCACACCUGGAAAACUCGGGGCAUCUGAGCCCCCUUUGACAGGACUUAGACGACCUUGGCUUGUGAGGGCGGGCUGCUUCGGGGGUGUGAGGAAGUGGGGCUUUGCUCUGGGUCAUGUGUCAUCACAGAGCAGAGGCAACUCUGACUGGGGAUCUUAGAGAUUUUUUUUUUUUUAAUCUAAAAGGAAGAGCCACGAAGUGAAGCUGAAGGCACUGUCACCCGUCCAGCCAGGAUCGGGGAUGUUGGAUUCUCCUGUGCUUUAGAGUGUGUUCUUUUAUGAAUUUGCGUUCAGACGUGACAGGGCAGAGUCCCGGUGCAUUUCGGUCCUACCGUGGCUUUGCUGGACAUGCCAAUCUUCAGCAUUGCUUCUGUGUCCGGGGCCAGCAUCCCGGGAGGGACCUCAGAGGGACCCUCCUGCCGUUUUCCGUUCAGAAGCUGAGCCAGCAGCCUUGCACUGACUGCUAGCAAGGAGCAGGUCCCAGCCAGGUAGACAGGCUUGCUCUGUGGCUGCAAAGGAAGGUGGACCCGAGUCCAGAUCCCAAGGUUCUCCCUCGGAGGAGGCUUGCACCCUAAUAUGCCUUGCAUCUUUAUUCUUUCAUAAACGUCGAAGGGACACUCGUUUUAUGCCAAGACCCAAGUACCUCAGGCCAGUGCCUUAAUUCUCAGUGCUCAGUUUGUCUCUCUGGGAAAUGGGUACAAUGUUAGUGCCUGAGAUAGAUGAGGGCCUAUUGCAUUGCCCUGAAUUGCUGUGGUUAAACACUGGGUGUCAAGUGUGGAGCCAUGCUGAUCUGUACCAUCAUAGACCUUAUUACAGAGAGGCAAGGAGAGGGCGGCUCGGGAGAACAUGUCUUGUUCCUCCUUGUCAUGGCCUAGAGACCGGAGACCCCAGUGAUUCCCCACACAGCCUGGGCUGCAUAGACCAGGAUCUGAGGGUUCCAGAGUUCUGGUCCCUCCAGUCUAUACUACCCCUUAACUCCCCCAACAUAGCUGGGAGGGGGGCAUCUCUUGAAAUUGCCCUGGCUAGCCCCUGACACCAUUCAGGCCCAGGACUGACUACCCCAGAAGGGAGGCUGCUGUUUCCAACCCGAACCCCACCUCUGCAUGCCACGGGGCGCUGCCGACCCGAUGUCUUGUGGUUCUCCAGGCUCUCUAAACACAGCCCAUGGGAGCCGCUGGGGCCCAGAGGCAGAGAGGGCACAGGCUGUGGGGGUGGAGGAGGGCAUGUGCUAUCCUGCCUUCUGCAUGCAUGGAGGAGGGGGUGGUUACAGGACAGCGUGAGACCGGCAUAGAAGGAAGUUUGUUUAUCUGUUGGGGAUGGCAGAGGCAGCGCCCAUGACAGGGGCCUGCUCGAUGUGGGCAGGGAGGGUACUCAUUGUGCCCCUGAAUGGGUAGGUGUGGACGUGUGCGGGGGCGGCCACUCUGGCAGGAGGGUGGGGGCCUGCACUUAGUGUGUGUGCCGAGCUUCAGCCUUGGUAGCUAGGCCUAGGUUCAGAGUUCGCAUUGGCCUGGGUUCCUUUCUAAUUGAGCUCUUUCCUGGCUGUGUGAUCUUGGCCCAGUGGUUUACCCCCUCUGAGCCUCAUUCAUCUGCUCCAUGACUGGGGCUAGGCACAUGAAACUCAUUAUUUGCUGCUCUUUCAGAGGACCCAAGUUUGGUUCCCAGAACCCACAUCAGGAGGCUCAAGACUGUCUGCGACUCCGGCUUCAGGGAUCCAAUGUUGCUCUGCCACUGGCCUGUGUACAAAUGUGGCAAUACACACACACACACAUGCACUCAUGCAUGCUUGCACACAUGUGUGCUGACACACACACAAAAUUUUAAAAGUACUUAAUUAAAAAAAAAACAAAGUA
rnacentral:lncRNA from 1 species